rnacentral:rRNA from 1 species
CCUACGGGGGGCAGCAGUGAGGAAUAUUGGUCAAUGGCCGGAAGGCUGAACCAGCCAAGCCGCGUGAAGGACGAAGGUGCCAAGCAUUGUAAACUUCUUUUGUCAAGGGACAAAAUCAGGCUCGAGAGCCUGACCGAGGGUGCUUGAAGAAAAAGCAUAGGCAAACUCCGUGCCAGCAGCCGCGGUAAUUCGGAGGAUGCGGGCGUUAUCCGGAUUUAUUGGGGUAAAAGGGUGCGUAGGGGGACCGUUAGGUCAGAGGUAAAAGCCCGGGGUCCAACCCCGACGCGCCGUUGAAACUGGCUGUCUUGAGUGGUCGAGAGGUAUGCGGAAUGCGCGGUGUAGCGGUGAAAUGCUUAGAUAUUGCGCAGAACACCGAUUGCGAAGGCGGCAUACCGGCGGCGAACUGACGCUGAGGCACGAAAGCGUGGGUAUCGAACAGGAUUAGAUACCCCAGUAGUC